UGAGUCCUACGGGAGGCAGCAGUGAGGAAUAUUGGUCAAUGGGCGCGAGCCUGAACCAGCCAAGUCGCGUGAGGGAUGACGGCCCUACGGGUUGUAAACCUCUUUUGCCGGGGAGCAACGGGCGCCACGUGUGGCGCCACUGAGAGUACCCGGAGAAAAAGCAUCGGCUAACUCCGUGCCAGCAGCCGCGGUAAUACGGAGGAUGCGAGCGUUAUCCGGAUUUAUUGGGUUUAAAGGGUGCGUAGGCGGAUCGUUAAGUCAGUUGUGAAAGUUUGCGGCUCAACCGUAAAAUUGCAAUUGAUACU
rnacentral:rRNA from 1 species